rnacentral:rRNA from 1 species
AGCUAGUUGGUGAGGUAACGGCCCACCAAGGCAACGAUCGGUAGCCGGACUGAGAGGUUGAACGGCCACAUUGGGACUGAGACACGGCCCAGACUCCUACGGGAGGCAGCAGUGGGGAAUAUUGCACAAUGGGGGAAACCCUGAUGCAGCGACGCCGCGUGGAGGAAGAAGGUCUUCGGAUUGUAAACUCCUGUUGUUGAGGAAGAUAAUGACGGUACUCAACAAGGAAGUGACGGCUAACUACGUGCCAGCAGCCGCGGUAAAACGUAGGUCACAAGCGUUGUCCGGAAUUACUGGGUGUAAAGGGAGCGCAGGCGGGAAGACAAGUUGGAAGUGAAAUCCAUGGGCUCAACCCAUGGACUGCUUUCAAAACUGUUUUUCUUGAGUAGUGCAGAGGUAGGCGGAAUUCCCGGUGUAGCGGUGGAAUGCGUAGAUAUCGGGAGGAACACCAGUGGCGAAGGCGGCCUACUGGGCACCAACUGACGCUGAGGCUCGAAAGUGUGGGUAGCAAACAGGAUUAGAUACCCUGGUAGUCCACACCGUAAACGAUGAUUACUAGGUGUUGGAGGAUUGACCCCUUCAGUGCCGCAGUUAACACAAUAAGUAAUCCACCUGGGGAGUACGACCGCAAGGUUGAAACUCAAAGGAAUUGACGGGGGCCCGCACAAGCAGUGGAGUAUGUGGUUUAAUUCGACGCAACGCGAAGAACCUUACCAAGUCUUGACAUCCUGCGACGAUGCUGGAAACAGUAUUUUCCUUCGGGACGCAGAGACAGGUGGUGCAUGGUUGUCGUCAGCUCGUGUCGUGAGAUGUUGGGUUAAGUCCCGCAACGAGCGCAACCCUUAUGGUCAGUUACUACGCAAGAGGACUCUGGCCAGACUGCCGUUGACAAAACGGAGGAAGGUGGGGAUGACGUCAAAUCAUCAUGCCCUUUAUGACUUGGGCUACACACGUACUACAAUGGCGUUAAACAAAGAGAAGCAAGACCGCGAGGUGGAGCAAAACUCAGAAACAACGUCCCAGUUCGGACUGCAGGCUGCAACUCGCCUGCACGAAGUCGGAAUUGCUAGUAAUCGUGGAUCAGCAUGCCACGGUGAAUACGUUCCCGGGCCUUGUACACACCGCCCGUCACACCAUGAGAGCCGGGGGGACCCGAAGUCGGUAGUCUAACCGCAAGGAGGACGCCGCCGAAGGUAAAACUGGUGAUUGGGGUGAAGUCGUAACAAGGUAGCCGUAGGAGAACCUGCGGCUG